GAUGAACGCUGGCGGCGUGCCUAAUACAUGCGAGUCGAGCGAACAGACGAGGAGCUUGCUCCUCUGACGUUAGCGGCGGACGGGUGAGUAACACGUGGAUAACCUACCUAUAAGACUGGGAUAACUUCGGGAAACCGGAGCUAAUACCGGAUAAUAUAUUGAACCGCAUGGUUCAAUAGUGAAAGACGGUUUUGCUGUCACUUAUAGAUGGAUCCGCGCCGCAUUAGCUAGUUGGUAAGGUAACGGCUUACCAAGGCAACGAUGCGUAGCCGACCUGAGAGGGUGAUCGGCCACACUGGAACUGAGACACGGUCCAGACUCCUACGGGAGGCAGCAGUAGGGAAUCUUCCGCAAUGGGCGAAAGCUUGACGGGGCAACGCCGCGUGAGUGAUGAAGGUCUUCGGAUCGUAAAACUCUGUUAUUAGGGAAGAACAAAUGUGUAAGUAACUAUGCACGUCUUGACGGUACCUAAUCAGAAAGCCACGGCUAACUACGUG
rnacentral:rRNA from 1 species